UACGUAGGGGUCGAGCGUUGUCCGGAUUUAUUGGGCGUAAAGGGCGCGUAGGCGGCUACCCAAGUCGGUCGUGAAAUCUCCUGGCUCAACUGGGAGGGGACGGGCGAAACGGGGUGGCUGGAGCACGGUAGGGGCGAGCGGAAUUCCCGGUGUAGUGGUGGAAUGCGUAGAGAUCGGGAGGAACACCCGUGGCGAAGGCGGCUUGCUGGACCGGAUGCUGACGCUGAGGCGCGAAAGCGUGGGGAGCGAUCCGG
rnacentral:rRNA from 1 species